rnacentral:rRNA from 1 species
GACGAACCGUCCAAACGUUAUUCGGAAUCACUGGGCUUACAGAGUUCGUAGGCGGUCUGGAAAGUUGGGUGUGAAAUCCCUCGGCCUAACCGAGGAACUGCGCUUGAAACUACCAGACUCGAGGGAGAUAGAGGAAAGCGGAACUGAUGGUGGAGCGGUGAAAUGCGUUGAUAUCAUCAGGAACACCGGUGGCGAAGGCGGCUUUCUGGGUCUUACCUGGACGCUGAGGAACGAAAGCCAGGGGAGCGAACGGG